rnacentral:lncRNA from 1 species
AGAGUAUAGAUCUUAUUCUAAAUAGUUUAAAGAAUUUUCUAACCAAAAUUCAAUUGAUUUGGAUAGCUUUACACCGUUAAACGAGAAAACGUCUCAUAUCUACCAUUAAAAUUACAAAUUUUGAAACCCUUUGAUCAAUAGGUCAAUAAUGUCGAAAAGAUUUGAAAUUUGGUUUCUAGAUACUUCAAGUGAUAUAGAUUAUGUUCAACGGUGCCGAUUGUCAAUUUAAAGGCUCCAUCAUCGAAAACAAAUGGGUGGCAACGGAGCCGGUUUGCUACCGAUAGCAUUCCAGCUCAACUAUAUAUAUAUAUAUAUAUAUAAAGAGAGAGAGAGAGAGAGAGAGAGAGAGAGUAGAGCUACUAUGCUAUCGGAAGUAUAGAGGAUCCGGUGCUUCCGAUUUUUUGGCCCUUAGAUCAACUCCUUUAAUCAUUUAUAGCCUUUGAAUUAAUACUAUUAACCUAUGGGGCCACUCAACCCUAGGGGUACUACACAACCCUGGGGGGACUGCAAUCAUCCCAACCGUGUAAUUUUUGAUCCAAUUGUCAAAAAGUUGAAAGUACCAGAUUCUCUAUCCUUCUGAUAGCAUAAUAGCUCUACACUAUAUAUAUAUAGUUGAGCUAGAAUACUCUCAAAAGCACCAAUGAGGUGGUGCUUUUGAGUUUUUAACCAUUGGAUGGAGGAAUGUAAGGUUGUGAUGAUGGUGGUAGGUGGUGGUAGAUGGAAUAGUGUUUGAUCCAAUGGCUGUUAGUAAUCAAGAAGUAGAUCCAAGGGUUAGAAAUCUAAAAGCACCAAUGGGGUGAUACUUUUAAAAGUAUUCUAGCUCAAUUCUAUAUAUAUAUAUAUAUAUAUAUAUAUAUAUAUAUAUAUAUAGUCUAAAUAGGAUGCUUCUAAUACCACCAAGCGUUUGGUGCUACUAAAUUUUUCGCCGUUAAAUUUAUCACUUUGAUCAUUUUAUUCGUUAGAUUAUGCUAUUCAAUCAAACCACUAACUUAAUCCCAGGGAAUUACUAACAUCAUAGCCACACGUCCUUUCAAACAAAAGCCGAAAUAGCACCAAUGACUUCGUAUACUAUAAGAAGCAUUUCAGCCUAAUUAUUUAUAUUUAUAGAGAGUGCAGCUAUGAUACUUGUAAAAGCACCAAGCACUUGGUGCUUGUAAGUUUUUUACCGUUAGAUCUACUCUUCUGAUCAUUUUCAACCAUUAGAUUAUACUAUUCAACCAACUACCCACUCAACCCUACGGGGCUCACAUCAUCUUAACCGCAUAUCUCUUAUUUCAAUGGCUAAAAAUCUAUAAGUACCAAUAACUUGAUACUUUUAAAAGUAUAGAAGCUCAAUUAUAUUUAAAUAUAUAUAUAUAUAUAUAGAGUUGAGCUAGAAUACUAUCGGUAGCAAAUGGACUCCGUUGCCACCCAUUUGUUUUUAAUGAUGGAGCCUCCAAAUCGAUGAUCGACACCGUUGAAUAUGAUCUAUAUCACUUGAAGUAUCUAGAAAUCAAAUUUUAUACUUUUCUGAUAUUGUUCUCUUGUCCAUCAAGUGGGCGUAAAAAUGAACGGCUGAAAAUGAAUAUCCUCUAAAAGGUGAUGAUAGGAAUUUUGUAAUUAAGAUCGAGAGUAUAGAUCUUAUUCUAAAUAGUUUAAAGAAUUUUCUAACCAAAAUUCAAUUGAUUUGGAUAGCUUUACACCGUUAAACGAGAAAACGUCUCAUAUCUACCAUUAAAAUUACAAAUUUUGAAACCCUUUGAUCAAUAGGUCAAUAAUGUCGAAAAGAUUUGAAAUUUGGUUUCUAGAUACUUCAAGUGAUAUAGAUUAUGUUCAACGGUGCCGAUUGUCAAUUUAAAGGCUCCAUCAUCGAAAACAAAUGGGUGGCAACGGAGCCGGUUUGCUACCGAUAGCAU